UCAAGCGUUUAAGGGCGUGUGGCGGAUGCCUUGGCACUGAAAGCCGAUGAAGGACGUGGUAUACUGCGAUAAGUUACGGGGAGCUGUAUGCAAGUUUUGAUCCGUAAAUUUCCGAAUGGGGAAACCCACCACUUUAUGUGGUACUUUAAACUGAAUACAUAGGUUUAAAGAGACAACCUGGAGAACUGAAACAUCUAAGUAACCAGAGGAAAAGAAAUCAAUUGAGAUUCCGUGAGUAGUGGCGAGCUAAAGCGGAUUAGGCCGGCAACUUAGUUUAGACAAUUUGAAUAGUUUGGAAAAACUAACCACAGAGGGUGAUAGUCCCGUAAAAGUAAUGCUGAUUCUAAGUUCAUGAGUAAAGCGGGACACGUGAAAUCUUGCUUGAAUAUAGGGGGACCACCCUCUAAGCCUAAGUACUCUACAGUGACCGAUAGUGAACUAGUACCGUGAGGGAAAGGUGAAAAGAACCCCUAUUAGGGGAGUGAAAUAGAACCUGAAACCGAUUGCCUACAAACAGUCAUAGCUCUUUUUAGAGUGAUGGCGUACCUUUUGUAUAAUGGGUCAGUGACUUAAUUUAUUUAGCAAGCUUAAGCCGUUAAGGUGGAGGCGUAGCGAAAGCGAGUCUUAAUAGGGCGAUUAGUUUAAUGAAUUAGACCCGAAAACGAAUGAGCUUACCAUGAGCAGGUUGAAAGUUGGGUAACACCAACCGGAGGACCGAACCAGUUGACGUUGAAAAGUCUUUGGAUGACUUGUGGUAAGGGGUGAACGGCCAACCAAAUUCGUAGAUAGCUGGUUUUCCGCGAAAACUAUUUAGGUAGUGCGUUGAAUAAACAGACUUUUGGAGGUAGAGCACUAAAUGGGCUAGGGGAGAGAAAUCUCUACCAAACCUAAUAAAACUCCGAAUGCCAGAAGUCAUUCCUCAACAGACAGACUGUGGGUGCUAAGGUCCAUGGUCGAGAGGGGAACAGCCCAGAUCACCAGAUAAGGUCCCUAAAUCAUGAUUAAGUGUGAAAGGAUGUGGAGAUUCCAUAACAGCCGGGAGGUUGGCUUAGAAGCAGCCAUCCUUUAAAGAUAGCGUAACAGCUCACCGGUCUAAUAGAGUUUCUGCGCCUAAGAUGUAACGGGGCUCAAAUCAUAUACCGAAUCUGUGGGUGCAUAAAGUUUUCGAACUUUGUGCGCGGUAGCGGAACGUUCUGUAAGCCUGCGAAGGAAUACCCGCGAGGGAUUCUGGAGGUAUCAGAAGUGCGAAUGCUGACAUAAGUAACGAUAAACGAAGUGAAAAACUUCGUCGCCGAAAAUCCAAGGGUUUCUGCGCAAGGUUAAUCCGCGCAGAGUUAGUCGGCACCUAAGGCGAGGGCGAAAGCCGUAGUCGAUGGAAAUAAGGUUAAUAUUCCUUAACCAGAUGGUAGUGACGGAUUUUGUAAGUUGUGAGUUCUUAUUGGAUUGAACUUGCCGCGAAGAAGUCCCAGGAAAUAGCUCCAUCAUUAGACCGUACCCGAAACCGACACAGGUAGAUUAAUAGAGUAUAUUUAGGCGCUUGAGAGAAUGAUGUUGAAGGAACUCGGCAAAAUGCUUCUGUAACUUCGGAAUAAAGAAGACCUUUUUUUGGGCAACCAUUUAAAGGUGGCACAAGCCAGGGAGAAGCGACUGUUUAUCAAAAACACAGGGCUCUGCUAACACGUAAGUGGAUGUAUAGGGUCUGACGCCUGCCCGGUGCUGGAAGGUUAAUGCGAUGGGUGCAAGCUCAUUUCUGAAGCCCCAGUGAACGGCGGCCGUAACUAUAACGGUCCUAAGGUAGCGAAAUUCCUUGUCGGGUAAGUUCCGACCUGCAUGAAUGGCGUAACGAUUUCUCCGCUGUCUCCAACAUCAACUCAGUGAAAUUGAAUUCUCCGUGAAGAUGCGGAGUUCGCGUGGUUAGACGGAAAGACCCCGUGCACCUUUACUGCAACUUUACAUUGGUAUUAGAAAUGACUUGUUUAACUUAGGAGGGAGACUUUGAU
rnacentral:rRNA from 1 species